UACGUAGGGUGCGAGCGUUAAUCGGAAUUACUGGGCGUAAAGCGUGCGCAGGCGGUUCGUUAAGUUCGUUGUGAAAGCCCCGGGCUCAACCUGGGAACUGCAAUGGAAACUGGCGGGCUUGAGUGUGGCAGAGGGGGGUGGAAUUCCACGUGUAGCGGUGAAAUGCGUAGAGAUGUGGAGGAACGCCAAUGGCGAAGGCAGCCUUCUGGGCCAACACUGACGCUCAUGCACGAAAGCGUGGGGAGCAAACAGG
rnacentral:rRNA from 1 species